rnacentral:tRNA from 1 species
GGGGGUAUAGCUUAGUUGGUAGAGUGCUUGCCUCACAUGCAAAAGGCCCUGGGUUUGAUCCCUAGCACCACAA